UAGGGAAUAUUGGACACUGGGGGCAACCCUGAUCCAGCCAUGCCGCGUGAGUGAAGAAGGCCCUCGGGUUGUAAAGCUCUUUUGUCCGGAAAGAAAAGCAUUCGGUGAAUACCCGGAUGUUCUGACGGUACAGGAAGAAUAAGCACCGGCUAACUUCGUGCCAGCAGCCGCGGUAAUACGCAGGGUGCAAGCGUUACUCGGAAUUACUGGGCGUAACGCGUGCGUAGGUGGUUGUUUCAGUCUGAUGUGAAAGCCCUGGGCUCAACCUGGGAAGGGCAUUGGAAACUGGCGAGCUAGAGUGUUGUGGAGGGGAGUGGAAUUGCCGGUGUAGCUGUGAAAUGCGUAUCGAUCGGGAGGAAUAUCUGUGGCGAAGGCGACUGCCUGGACCAGCACUGACACUGAG
rnacentral:rRNA from 1 species